rnacentral:rRNA from 1 species
GACGAACGCUGGCGGCGUGCUUAACACAUGCAAGUCGAACGGAAAGGCCCUGCUUUUGUGGGGUGCUCGAGUUGCGAACGGGUGAGUAACACGUGAGUAACCUGCCAUUGACUUUGGGAUAACUUCAGGAAACUGGGGCUAAUACCGGAUAGGAGCUCCUGCUGCAUGGUGGGGGUUGGAAAGUUUCGGCGGUUGGGGAUGGACUCGCGGCUUAUCAGCUUGUUGGUGGGGUAGUGGCUUACCAAGGCUUUGACGGGUAGCCGGCCUGAGAGGGUGACCGGCCACAUUGGGACUGAGAUACGGCCCAGACUCCUACGGGAGGCAGCAGUGGGGAAUAUUGCACAAUGGGCGGAAGCCUGAUGCAGCAACGCCGCGUGCGGGAUGACGGCCUUCGGGUUGUAUACCGCUUUCGCCUGUGACGAAGCGUGAGUGACGGUAAUGGGUAAAGAAGCACCGGCUAACUACGUG